UCUAGCAUAUGCCCUAGGAUUCUCUAGAUGUUUAGUCACUAGGUGCACUAAACUGUUGAUUGCAUUAUCAGGGCCUCUUCAAUGUUUGUAAGUGAACUGAUUAGAAUCUAAGUGUGGACCUACUUCUAGUUUGAAUUAACUCAUAAUGAGCUUUUCCAUGCAUUUCAUCACAACAGAAGUUAAAGCAGUAGGUCUAAAAUAAUUAUUCUAGACCAAAUCACAUUCAACAGACAAAUCAUAAUUGUCAAACCGUCCACACCCACAUGAGGCUGGUAAGCAAACUGGACUGGGUCCAGUGCAAGUUCACCUGUGGGACCAGGUGGGCUAAAACUAUUCUCUCCAACACCUUCCAUGUGACAUGAAGCAACCGGUCUGUAGUCUCUGAGGCCAGAUAGGGGGGCUUUCUAAGGUAUCGGUACUAGACAACAUGCAUCAGACUCAGGUAGUAGAUGUACUUCAGGAUACCAGAAAGCUGAGUAGCGCAGGACUUCAGAACCCUUGGACUAAAACCACCAGGGCCUGCAGCCUUGCCUUGAUCAAGUCUCUCCAACUGUCUUCUCACCUGGUUGGUCGCCACAGUGAAAUAAGUUGAUGUGGUCAGCCCAGUGGAGGUAGGCAUUGGGGGGUUGUGGUCAGGGAUACUCAGCAAGCCUGUGUGAUGUUGCUGUGGAUGUGUAUUUGGUGUCUGUGAGGAUGUGAAGACUGUUCCUAUGUGGGAUGGACCAGCAGGGGAUCGUGUGCUGAACCUUUUAAAAACACAUUCAGUUCGUUGGCUCUGUCCAAGCUGUCCAAGAAGAAAUGAAACCUCAGUGUCAGACAACAGACAACUCUGGAGCUUAGGGCCAUUUCUCAGAUCACUGACAUGUUUUAAUCAACACUAAAAUCAUUUCAUUCAUACUGUCUUAAUAACAGCUUCCUCUCCAGGCCCGUAUUUUUCCCACUUUAUUUAUCAUCUAAAAGUGUUUAUCAUCAGCUGUGUAUCAGUGUGAGAGAGAAAAGUCUGGUCUUUAACCGUUCAGGAGUUUUACUGUGUGAAAGAGUGACUUCAGAGUCACAGCACAGCAGAGUCAGAACUUCAGUGCAUUCAGAGUCACAGCAACAUAAGAAAUGAAGCAAUUUAGGUCUAAAAAUAUUUACAUCCUCUAAAAUAUUACAGAUUGGUUGUCCACAUAUGUUCUGGCUUAAAUAUUUACUUAUUUGACUAAUCCUUUUUUUCAUUUCAGUUUACAGGUUUUAGCCUGAUGACACUGGCUAUCUUUAACUUAGCAGUGUUCAAGUGCUGCAGAUUCUGUCAGCAAGAACCACAAGCCAACACUGGAGCAACCGCCACCAGACGAAGGUGAUGGGAAACAAACUGCUGUACAGAUCACAUACUAAAUCUGCUCAGAUGGAGCUGCUGUGCUGAAUGAACAUAUUGUUAAUCUAAACAAUCACUAGAGGCUCCUCCCUGUUUUGGGUCACCAGAGUGGAUCACCUUGUCCACAUUUUUUAUGUGGCUUUAUACCGGAUGCCCUUCCUGACAUGACCAUUCCAUAUAAUCUGGGCUUGGGACCAAGACUGAUAGUUAACUCUUCAGUGGCUGGGUUAGCUUCCUGCCUGGGAAUUGAACCCUGGGAAUCAGUGAGAGGGCGGGAUCCCUCCACUGGACCACAAGGAGGCAAUUAGUAAAGCUAAUUAGUGAAUUAUAUGAAAAUAAAUGAAAAUUAAAAUGAAGAGUAAUGCUGGUCUAAUCAUUUUGUUAGCCGUGUUAACAAAAAACACAGAGUGACCAUUGAGUGAUCGAUUGAUUGAUCUGUGGAGAUCGUCAAGUGCACCAAAUUCCUUGGUGUUCAUCUGGUGGAGAACUUUACCUGGUCACUCAACACCAGCUCCAUCAGUAAUAAAGCCCAGCAGCAUCUUUACUUAUUAACGAAGUCUGAGGAAAGCCCAUCUCCCUCCCCCCAUCCUGUCUGUGUUCUACAGAGGGACCAUGGAGAGCGUCCUGAGCAGCUGCAUCACUGCCUGGUUUGGGAACUGGACCGUCUCAGAUCACAAGACCCUUC